rnacentral:rRNA from 1 species
UACGGAGGGGGCAAGCGUUAAUCGGAAUUACUGGGCGUAAAGCGUGCGCAGGCGGUUAUGUAAGACAGGUGUGAAAUCCCCGGGCUUAACCUGGGAACUGCAUUUGUGACUGCAUAGCUAGAGUACGGUAGAGGGGGAUGGAAUUCCGCGUGUAGCAGUGAAAUGCGUAGAUAUGCGGAGGAACACCGAUGGCGAAGGCAAUCCCCUGGACCUGUACUGACGCUCAUGCACGAAAGCGUGGGGAGCAAACAGG